CGGUUAAAAAGCUCGUAGUCGAAUUUGUGUUUCGCGCCGCCGGUUCAUCGUUCGCGGUGUUAACUGGCGUGUCGCGGGACGUCCUGCCGGUGAGUUUGUUCGUCAGAACAACUCAAUUUAAUCUUGCUACGGUGCUCUUCAUCGAGUGUCGAAGUGGGCCGGCACGUUUACUUUGAACAAAUUAGAGUGCUUAAAGCAGGCUAAAAUUUUGCCUAAAUACUGUGUGCAUGGAAUAAUGGAAUAGGACCUCGGUUCUAUUUUGUUGGUUUUCGGAACUCCGAGGUAAUGAUUAAUAGGAACGGAUGGGGGCAUUCGUAUUGCGACGUUAGAGGUGAAAUUCUUGGAUCGUCGCAAGACGGACAGAAGCGAAAGCAUUUGCCAAAAACGCUUUCAUUGAUCAAGAACGAAAGUUAGAGGUUCGAAGGCGAUCAGAUACCGCCCUAGUUCUAACCAUAAACGAUGCCAGCUAGCGAUCCGCCGACGUUCCUCCGAUGACUCGGCGGGCAGCUUCCGGGAAACCAAAGCUUUUGGGUUCCGGGGGAAGUAUGGUUGCAAAGCUGAAACUUAAAGGAAUUGACGGAAGGGCACCACCAGGAGUGGAGCCUGCGGCUUAAUUUGACUCAACACGGGAAACCUCAUCAGGCCCAGACACCGGAAGGAUUGACAGAUUGAGAGCUCUUUCUUGAUUCGGUGGGUGGUGGUGCAUGGCCGUUCUUAGUUGGUGGAGCGAUUUGUCUGGUUAAUUCCGAUAACGAACGAGACUCUAGCCUGCUAACUAGGCGUUAUAGACAUCUUAAAGGCUCGCUUUGUCCAAAGUUCGCUUUGUGGCAAGCGCAGUUUUUACUGUCUGCGUACAUUAUAUUCUUCUUAGAGGGACAGGUGGCUUCUAGCUGCACGAGAUUGAGCAAUAACAGGUCAGUGAUGCCCUUAGAUGUUCUGGGCCGCACGCGCGCUACACUGAAGAAAUCAGCGUGUCUUCCCUGGCCGAGAGGCCCGGGUAACCCGCUAAACCUUCUUCGUGCUAGGGAUUGGGGCUUGCAAUUGUUCCCCAUGAACGAGGAAUUCCCAGUAAGCGCGAGUCAUAAGCUCGCGUUGAUUACGUCCCUGCCCUUUGUACACACCGCCCGUCGCUACUACCGAUUGAAUGAUUUAGUGAGGUCUUCAGACUGGUGCGCGGUAGCGUUUCGACGUCUUGCCGAUGUUGCUAGAAAGAUGACCAAACUUGAUCAUUUAGAGGAAGUAAAAGUCGUAACAAGGUUUCC
rnacentral:rRNA from 1 species